GUGCAGCAGGCGAGAAAACUUCACACUGUGCGAAAGCACGAUGAGGGAAUCCCAAGUGCUUGCACGUAAGUGUAAGCUGUUUCUCUGUUUAAAACGCAGAGAGAGUAAGGGCUGGGUAAGACGGGUGCCAGCCGCCGCGGUAAUACCUGCAGCUCAAGUGGUGACCGUUAUUAUUGGGCCUAAAACGUCCGUAGCCGGUUUAAUAAAUGCCUGGGUAAAUCGUGUAGCUUAACUAUACGAAUUCCGGGUAGACUGUUAAACUCGAGACCGGGAGAAGUUAGAGGUACUCCUGGGGUAGAGGUGAAAUUCUGUAAUCCUAGGGGGACCACCAGUGGCGAAGGCGUCUAACUGGAACGGGUCUGACGGUGAGGGACGAAGCCCUGGGGCGCAAACGGGGAUUAGAUACCCCUGUAGU
rnacentral:rRNA from 1 species